rnacentral:misc_RNA from 1 species
CACCCCUCAAGCGUAGCUUGGUAUUGGGCCUUCGUCCCCGCGGACGUGCCCGAAGACGAGUGGCGGUCCCGACACGGUCUCAAGCGUAGUAAAUCUCUUCGCCGCUUUGGAGCUCCGCGUCGGUGCCGGCCAGAACCCCCCACAUUUUUUCAAU